rnacentral:rRNA from 1 species
UCUUCAAGCGGUGGAUCACUCGAAUUACCAAU